rnacentral:sRNA from 1 species
AAGCUUACCAUGGGGGUGUCUGUACGCGUGUGUGUUCGUGCGCUCAGUGGUGGAAGACAGGACAGAAAAUAAACGGAUCAACAUCCAAAGCAACAAGGUCAUUACAGCUUAUGGGGAAACUGACUCCAUGAAGCUCAGGCCUGGCCGCGGUCAGGGUAGAAUCAGGACUGGAACCCAGGCUGUAUGGCUGCGGCCCUGACCCUCACCAUCCAUGUCAGGCAGAGAACACUCAGGUGGGGCAGGAGGUCUUGGCCCCCAUGGUGUGGGGCUUGGUCACAGCUGCUUCCCCAGCCCCAGGCCUGCAUGAAGAAGGCACUCACUAAAUGCUUGCUGUUGAGGUGAGUGAAGCUGAGGGUGGAAUCCGAGAGUGGGAGGAGGAGGAGAAGGAGGAGGAGGCAGCAGAGAGGACACCCACGGGAGAAAAGUCUCCAAACUCUCCCGGGACUUUGCUGUCUCUGAGAGGGAAGGCCUGGACGGGGGGCCGCAUGGAAGUCAAGCUGGAGCUGCACCCCUUGCAGAACAGGUGGGCUCUGUGGUUCUUCAAGAAUGACCGCAGCCGGGCCUGGCAGGACAACCUGCACCUGGUCACCAAGGUGGACACUGUGGAGGACUUCUGGGCGUGAGUGUCUGUCCCCAGUGGGGCUAGAGGUGGGGGGCUCUGAGCUCUGGGCUCCCUCUCUCCGGGUUGAGCCAGCCCUCCCUAGGGCCUUUCAGCCUUGGUGAGGGCUGGGGCUUUGUGGGUUCUGCCCAGGGGGUGUAGGGCACAACCACCCCCCACCCCACCACCUUCUUCGGGCUCAGGGAGAGAGCCUGGGGAGCAGGAGAAGCAGGAAGCUGACCCUGACUCGGCCACUCCAGGGCUUUGUGACCUGGGCAAGUUCCUUCCCCUCUCUGAACCUGUCUCAGCUGCAAAGAGAGGACUCGGCUGCCUCAGUGUCCGGGUGCUCACGGGAGUGGGUCUGAAAAGGGCUGCACAAGCCCUAGGGAGGGUGAGAAGGCCUCGGCUGUAGCUGGAGGGGGGAGCACCAGGGGGUCCAAAACCCUCCCCAGGGAUUGGCUCAGCCUUCACUGGGAAGGCUCUGUGGAAAAGGUGGGUCUUGAGAGUUUGGAUAAACGGGGGUGGAAUCCCAGGUGGCAGGCCAGUGUAAGCAAAGGCUUGGAGGCCAUGGGGUUGGAUGAGGAGCUGGGAGGGCUGAACCCAGUUGGAACCAGGCCCUAAAAAGCCUUGACUUUUGGCAUGGGGUGGGGGGCUCUGUCCAGGCUAUACAGUCACAUCCAGCUGGCCAGCAAGCUCUCCUCUGGCUGUGACUAUGCCCUCUUCAAGGAUGGCAUCGAGCCCAUGUGGGAGGACAGCAGGAAUAAGCGGGGUGGCCGCUGGCUGGUCAGCCUGGCCAAGCAGCAGCGCCACAUUGAGCUGGACCGGCUGUGGCUGGAGACGGUGAGUUGGAGGAGGAGGGUCCUCAGGGGAAGAGACGGGCUGUGUGGGUCUCAUAGUGGCACUGGUCUCAAGGAUGGCAGGCCAGUCCCUAUGUCCUAGCCGGUGAUCUCACAACCCCCUACUUCGGGUCCAGCUGCUGUGUCUGAUCGGGGAGAGCUUUGAGGAACACAGCAGAGAGGUAUGUGGGGCCGUCGUCAACAUCCGCACCAAGGGGGACAAGAUCGCUGUGUGGACGAGGGAGGCGGAAAACCAGGCGGGCGUGCUGCACAUUGGGUGAGGAGGGUCUCUGGCACAGGGUGGGGGCUUGGGUCUCUUCUAGAGGGAAGGUGGGUGGAGGGGGCUUGGCCUGCAUGGGAGACCUCUGAAAGUCUCCAUAGCCUCCCUCCCUUCUGCCUUGCCCACCUGUAUGGAAGGGUCUGGCGUUCAGAUUUCUAACUUUCUCUUACGGCAGUGCAGCUCUCCUUUUGCAUUAAGGGGGUCAUAUUUUGGGUUUCCACAUGGGUAAGACACAACAGGUGUGGCCGUGGCCAGAAUGAGGGUAGGAGUCUGGUGGCCUAAGUUAUCUCUAGGACCCUCUGAUGACUACCUGUGUCUCUUUUCCUCUGUGUCCCCCGCACCUGCAGGCGUGUAUACAAAGAGCGCCUGGGCCUCUCCCCAAAGACCAUCAUUGGGUACCAGGCCCAUGCAGACACAGCCACCAAGAGCAACUCCCUAGCCAAGAACAAGUUUGUGGUGUGAGGGGGGCCUUGGCACCCCUCCUAUGUAAUGGGACAGCCACCACUGAGCCUCAUUACUUUGGGGGAUGGGGCGGGACUGGGGAUCAGACAGCCUAGUUCUUACCUGUCCUCAAGUGAACAGGAAUGCAAACAUUCUUUAACAUGAGUUGGGGCCUGAGCCUUAGGGGCUAGAUGGGGGUAGUGGUGGCAGUCUGAGGACCUAGCUUGUCCUGGGGCCACAGGACAGCAGCAGGGUGGAAAAAACUCCUGGGGGUGGGGUGAGUCAUGGCGGGGAAGGAGGGCUCUAUGGUAGGCGGAGAAGCCCAUAGUCCAGUGUUUACUGUUUCCACCCAGGAAGGAGGUGAGGUGGCCUGAGAGACAGACUCUUCCAUGGGUGGUGGGCUCAAGGGCACAGACACGCUGGAGGGUGAACGCCAUCAUUUGUACAGAGGGAUACGUGGGUUGCUGAGGACUGAGAGAGCCUUGCAAGGCCGCUCCCCUUCUCCCCAGCUGUGACCAUGGCUGUCUGGGCCUUGCCUGCCUCAGGGCCAGACUGAAGUGGAGGUGGAGGGAUGCUGGGCUAGGCCUCACCAAGGUUCUGGUAGAAGUGGUGGAAGUGGAUAAACUUGAUAAUAAAAGCUUAAGCAUCUUUCUGUUCCUGUUUUAAAUAAAUACUUCUGAAC